UACGCGGAAGUGAUUAUGUUGCAUGACUUUUUAAUGAACUGCAAACAACUCUAAAUGUGUCGAUUACAGUAAGUUAAUUUAUUUAAUAUGCCAUGUACAUACAAAUGCCCAGCCCAUGGAUUUAUAAUCACCAAAAAUGCCGUUGCAGUGGUGAAACAUUUGUCAGACUCCUGUCUGAUAUAACUUCUCUCAUGUAACAUCAGAGUAGAGUAGAGUAAAGCUUAAAUGUCCCUAAGGAGCACUUUGGCUUACAGACAUCCGUCAAUAAUGACACAUACAGAGAAGUACAGGGGGGAAAAAAACAAACAAACAAUACAAUUAAAAAGUGCUCAAGUACAAAGGUUAACACCGACUUCACUGUUGUCAUUGUCACUAGUCACCAAAAGAAUCUAGCCCAUGUCAUGGGUGACACAAUAAAGUCCAAGACUUGUUUCCAUUGUGGUCCUUAAAGCAAGGAGAGUUAAGAUCCAGGCAUCCAAGUGACCUGGUGACAUCAUACUUCCAACAAACCAACACAAUAAAUACCUCUAUCUUCAUAUAUUAAGUCACUCCAAGUCAAACAACAAAAAAGAAAUUAUAAAAAGUUACAUACAAAUUAUAAUUAGGAUGAUAAUCACUCUCAAGUUUCCUGUAAAAUAUAAUUUGACCUUUUUUUAAAAUUGUGGACGCUUUUUUUUUUUUUUUUUUACUGUGCAAAGGUAAUAUAUUCCAAUUCCUGGCACCAGAGAACAUCAAGGAACAGGCACACAUGUUGGUAUUGGAUAAUUUUCAUAAUUGAAUAAUCUGCUGAUUAUUUUCCAGAUUAAUCAAUUAAUCGUUUGGUCUAUAAAACAUGUGACACAAUACACACAAUACAACACAAUUUCCUAGAGGCCAAAGUGAUUUCAUCAAAUGUCUUAUGUCCACACAGAGAUAUUUAAUUUACCAUAAUGUUAAGACAAGUCUCACAAUAGAGAGAAUGUUUGGCAUUUUUGCUUGAAAAAUUACCUAAAGAAUGAAUCGAUUAUCAAAGUAUUUUCUGAUUAUUUUUUGUCGAGUGAUUAAUCGACUAAUCACGCAGCUCUAGUUGGUAUCAGCAAGCAGAAGUCGGCCCCCACUAGUUCUAGUGUGGUAGUUAUGAGUUCCCCCAACACCAGUCUGCAUUGGUCAAAUUUAGCUUACUUCACACUGAUUAUAUUUUGAGAUCUUCAUUCAGCCAGACUGGCAGAACUACUGGUGACCACUUUUAUCAGCUCAUGAGUUCGGAUGUACAAAUCCCUAGUGUUCUUAAACUAAGUACAAACUUGGCUCAGAUGUCAGAGGAAAGGUCAAACACGCUGAUGGCCAUGCUGAUCUGCAGGUUCCUACAGUCUUUGUGCCACGUAUCUGUUGUGGAAAAACUAAGUCCCCAGGAUUUAGUGUGCUGGAGCCUGUUUCCUAUUGGUUCUAUAUUCUGUCCAUUUUCCUUGAUCCACUGACCGCCUGAGAAGGACUCUGUGUCAAAAUUAGUGUCUUCUCUGUUGCUGUAACAGGAGAUUAUUGUGAAGGUCAAGCACUUACUAAACAAAAGGUCUUGAAAAAAAGAUCUCAACGAGACGAGACGACCGGAUUAAAUAAAAGUUUAAAUCUGCCCAGGUGGAUGGACAUUUGAAGUCAUACAGGUAAAAAUAGGCUUCAUAUUCAUUAACACAGUCACGCAUGGUAUGUGCAAAAUUUUCCUUCUUUAUAAAGCUGCAGUUAUGUUACCAUGCCAGCAGAGGGAGCGCUCUGACAGCACGGACUCCUCUUCAAUCACUGAUAUACAAUACUCUGUCCAUAGUCCAGUGAGUUAUUUUAAAUAUAUAUAUAUAUAUAUAUUCCACCACUGUUUUAUGAUUGCAAACAAGAGUCAUACAACACCUAAGUAAGUAAUGUAAGUGAGUUUUCCUCCUAGAUUUUUGUAAUUACCAGUAAUCCUCUACUUGUUUCAUAAGUGUUUGUACUCAGAAUAUAUAAGUUUAGUUUUAUAAGACAUACUCAAUUACUAUUCCAACCUGUACAUUUACAUGCUACUCUGGUGUGACCUGUUUAUGUGUCUUUCAGCAAUAUUUCCUUUAGAGCUGAGGCCUUCAUCACUUUUUCAUUAGAUUCAUGUUUCUCCUCUUCAAACUGUUGUAGUGGAAAGUUACUACUUAACCCAACAAAAGUGUAAAUGUCAAAGUAAUUGAAACUCUGUCAUGUACCUGUAUUACUUCAAAGUACUUUGCCAUAUUCGAAGAGGACAGUUAUAGUUAUAAUCUUGAAAAUCUUAGAGCUAUAAAAAGUAAUGAAAUCAGGAGAUCUUUCAGAUUUGCAUACAAACUCAAAAUAUCUAUUGUGCCACAUUUUUUAUAAUGACACAGAACACCUGACAUUAUGUAAAGAACUUUCUGAUUUUAUUUUAGGUAAAUAGAUAUUUGUAUUUACAAUAUAAGAAAUCUGUCAGUACUCAACACAGCUCUUCACUCAUGCAGAUUAAGAACCUGUUAACCUUCCUAGUAACAGUACAGUACAAGAAAACCACAUUGUGCCAUUUCAGUGUAUUUCUUGCUUGGGUUAAACGUUUACAUGAUUAUUUAUGCACUGAUGGACUUUCAUGACUCUCAAUCCAAAUAAAGCUCCAAUAUAUACAUCUAAAACACGUGUCAGUGUGGAAAGUAUUCUUUCCGUCACUAUUAUAAACCUUGCUUCCUAAACAGACAAAUUUUUCCCCGUCAUCGCUGUGGCUCAGACUUGCAGAUCCACAGCCGACUGGCGAGCUGUGCUAAUCCUUUAAAGCAGAGCUGCCUUUCUUCCAGACCAGCCACCGUUUACUGUAAACUUACAGCUGAGAUGGGAAUGGCAGAAUUAGAGGGAAAUAAUAAUAGGGACCAAAUGAGGUUAGAGGAUCCACUUGAGUUAUCUGGAGAAGACGGGCUGACUGUCAGUGUCAGUGGAGCUGUGAUGAAAGUGUGUGGAGUGGUUUACAGAAACAGUAUUACACUACACAGCACUUUUGUACUGUUUAUACACAUUACACUAAAUACUGUGGGCUAAAGCAUUUUCAUCAUCAUUUAAUCAACAUUUUAUCCCACUAAACACAGUCUGUUUCAGCACUGUCGUCACUAUUCAACCACCCUUUUAUCCUAGGAACCUGUGUUUUGUGUGUGUGGCUGUGCACUCUGGAGCACUCUUCUGCACUGUAGAGAUUUGUUUUCUGUUACCCACAGAGCCCCUUCCCUCCCAAAUCAGAGCCCCCAUUGCCUCUUUGAAAUUGGUUGCCACGGUAACCCGCUUGCUCCUCAGCCAUAUCUGGAACAAGGAGGAGGAGAGAAGAGGAGAGGUCUGCAGCAUUACGCCUGUGACAUGCUCUGAGAGCGGUGAGAGAUAGAGAGGGAGGGAGGAAGAGGACGUAUGUGUGUAUUCAAGACAUCAGAACCUUCCUCCGAAUCCUCGCACAGAGAAAAAUAGAUUCCUCAUGCCUCGCAACACUCGAUGUCUCAGCUGCGUCUUGUCAGAACACUGAACGCCUUGUUGUCCCGUCAGCGUCCAGACCAAAACACUGGAAAAAUUGUUGCCUAUUCAUUCACAAUGGGACAAAGCACUUGAUACAUGAUACUUGAUGCACCGCAGAGAAAACGCUGCCGUCUUUGCAUUCGCUUUCAAAGACGGACACAUAUUUAGGUUCAUAUUCAUUCUCAAGUGCAGAUGAAGCGGCACACAAUUCAUUUAGCAUAUUUUUUGCUGUGGUUGUGUACUGGCUGUUUGCACCAUACUACAUGUAUUCACAGUUAGAUUUAAUAGUAAAUCAUCAUGAAGCUUAAAGGAUAGGUCUGGCAAUAUUCAACAAAUCCCAUGAAAAGACCAAAACUAAGAAUGUGUUAGACCGUCUCACAACACUUUUCAACUUCCCCAGCAUGUCUGUGACACUCAGCCCCAAGACUACUGGUUCCUACUGAAGACAUAAAUCUUUAAAAAACAAAACACAAAUAUUUACUUACAUUCUUAUUAAGGGCAAAAUAAUUAAUUAUUUUUAUUAUUGAUAAAUCUGCCGAUUAUUUUCUGGAUUAAUCGACUGGUUUAUAAAAUGUUAAACAAUAGUAAAAAAAAAAAUAGCAUUCAAAAUUUCUCAGAGGCCACAGUGAUGUCUUUAUUUGCGUGUUUUGUCUGACUAACAGUCCCAAACCUUAAGAUAUUCUAUUUACUGUCAUAUAUGACAAAGAAAAGCAGCAAAUUUUCACAUUUCAAAAGCUGGAAUCAGAGAAUUCUUGGCAUUUUUGCUUCAAAAAUGGUUAAAACAAUUAGUCAGUUAUCAAAAUAGUUGCCAAUUAAUUUUCUGUUGAAUCGCCUAAACAGUUACCUCAAACAGUUGGGCGCUGUAGGAAAUCUAUGGCUAUUUAAGCCGUAGAUUUUGUGUGCUAAUGAGUAUGUUCAUGGUAAUGAAGGAACGUGUCGCUCAGUGCAACCGUGUGUCUCAUGGAUGUGUUUUAAAUAGUUUAAGGACAAAAAUGGCAUUUUCCAGAUUUAAAGGUCUUGGCUCUGUGUGAAAACAAGACCCCUGAGUACCGGCCUUUCAAGCAUAAUGCAGUUUUGUUAUGCCUCUGACUAAACGUUGUCACAUGACACUAUGCAACCAUGCUGAUCGCAAUCACGCUCCUCGAGCUUGGUUACCAUGGUUACAUAAAGCUUGGGCUUCAUGCUCCGGCAAAAUCCUCUUGAUACCAAAGAAUUAAUUUCAGUUCAUGUAGAAACUAAAAAAAAAAGCAACGCUCUAUCAACAAAUGAGAGACAGACAGGGGAGGAAGAGGUACCGUUAAAUAGAUGAUUUCUUUAAUAAAAGACAUUACAGUGUGACAUUCAGUGAUGAGCUGGAAUGAUAUUGCUUUAGUAGCUUACAGUACAGAACCCAGCCCGGCCAGUAUGUGUUAUAACAUUAUAUUUUGACACCAGUUUGUCAUCAAACAUACUAAUCCCCUGGAGAACACAAGUCUCUCCAGUUUUACGCUGUUACUCUACAUUCAAAUCCACUCGAAAUGAUGAAAAGAAACCGUGUACACACAAU